UUUUUUUUUUUCCAAUCAGGCCAAGCUGCAUUUCUACCAAGCUGGAACAUCCAAGAACUUUAGUGAACUCAGACACUGCCCCUGUGUAAUCUGGAAAAGCUGCUUCUCUUCUGGGAUCACCCAGCUCCAGCCUAGCAAGAAAAUUACUGCCUGUUUUAUUUGUGAAAAAGAAAUGGACUCUUCUAAUGGUGAUCAUAGAAAUUUUCUUCAAGGAAAGCAUUGAUUUGGACUUGCAAUGAUUUUAUCAUUGACCCAGUAACCCCGGGAGUACAAGGCCUCGGGGAGGAAAUCCAGAAUCAGUAAAGAAAGGGACCAACUUUUGAUUUAAGAAGCCUAGAAUGACCAUACCGUGUGGAAUAUUACACCUAAAAAAUGCAAUGUCCUUCCCUUGAUAAACCUCAUCAUCUAUAAAUUUGACAUUAUUUGUAUCAAAUACAUUAAGGCAGAAAAUGUAAGCUGAAUUGUUAUUAAAUUCCUGCAAAUGAAGUCACUAAAUUAUAAUAGUAAAGCAUUACUAUGCAAAUUGGAGCUAAUUUUAUAAUAUCCCUAUCUAAUUAUUUACAGUGUAUGGAAUUAUGGCACUGUUAAGCAGGACAGGAUGUUGUAUGAAACAGUGUGUUUUUAAUUUGAGCCAUUUUUAC